GCCAAAAAUAAGCAUUUUUGUAACUUCCAGACAUAACUUGUGUGUAAGUGUAUGGAUCUCUCUGACAUUGUACCACAAGGUUCCAUAUCACAAAGGGAAUGCUGGGAUUGAUUUUGGGGGUAAUUGCCUCCAAAUUUUAGGAAUUAGGGGCCAAAAAGGGGCAAAAAACAAGCAUUUUUCUAGUUUCAUGACAAUAACUUGUGUGUAAGUCUAUGGAUCUCUCUGACAUUGUAUCCCAAGGUUCCAUAUCACAAAGGGAAAGCUGGGAUUGAUUUUGGGGGUAAUUGCCUCCAAAUUUUAGGAAUUAGGGGCCAAAAAGGGGCAAAAAACAAUCAUUUUUCUAGUUUCAUGACAAUAACUUGUGUGUAAGUGUAUGGAUCUUUAUGAAAUUGUACUACAAGGUUCCAUAUCACAAAGGGAAUACUGGGAUUGAUUUUUGGGGUAAUUUCCUCCAAAUUUUAGGAAUUAGGGGCCAAAAAGGGGCAAAAAACAAGCAUUUUUCUAGUUUCAUGACAAUAACUUGUUUGUAAGUGUAUGGAUCUUUAUGAAAUUGUACUACAAGGUUCCAUAUCACAAAGGGAAGGCUGGGAUUGAUUUUGGGGGUUUUCCCUCAAAAUUUUAGUAAUUAGGGGCCAUAAAAGGGCAAAAAAAACAUGCAUUUUUCUAGUUUCAGGACAAUAACUUGUGUGUAAGUGUAUGGAUCUUUAUGAAAUUGUACUGCAAGGUUCCAUAUCACAAAGGGAAAGCUGGAAUUGAGUUUGGGGGUAAUUGCCCUAAACGUUUAGGAAUUUGGGGCCAAAAAGGGGCCAAAAAACAAGCAUUUUUCUAGUUUCCAGACAAUAACUUGUGUUCAAGUGUAUGAAUCUCUCUGAAAUUGUACUGCAAGGUACCAUACCACAAAGGGAAAGCUGGGAUUGAGUUUGGGGGUGAUGAAUCAUAAGGGGGUUCAAAAAAUUGGGGGGGGGGGAUUUUUUUUUCCUUUUUUUUCUUUAACAUUUUCCAUUUUAAAUUGGUUAUUUCUGAUUUAUAUAUAAAAGCAAAUAAUAAUGAUAUGGUUUGAAUAGGCAUACAUGUGAACCUCCCGACGGGAGUACAAUAAUCCCGUUUUCAGGGGUCUCCUCCCGACCUCCCGUUGAAGAGGAAAAAAUCCCGUGUAUGAAAUUUUUCAUGAAUGAAAAAUUUCUGCCCAACAUAUCAUCUCAGGCAUCUGAUGUAACUGACAUUACCUGAAGUUAUAUUUUACCUGUAAAUCAAUUAACAUGCAUAAUUAUAUGGCUUCACUUGUCAGCUUGGGUGUCAAACAUACAGGUAAUCAACGAUUUUUACCUCAGGCUAACUGCCGUUGUGUAACAAAAACUGUGUAUUUAUUGGGUUACUUCCCUUGAUUUAUCCUGUUUUAAGUUACUUUCCUUUUAAUAAUGAAAAUUUUUAAAAGAAUAUAAAUAAAAUAUAAAUUGAACAAAUAAUCAUAAAAGGAUGGUUAUUAAAUGAUUUUAAAUGUCUUAGGACAAAUAAAAAAAUAAUAAUUUGAAAAUUAUUUGAGGAUUCUAGACUUCCUUUCAAGGCUUAAAUUGAAAUUUAUAUAAUAACUAUGACCCUAAUUUUACAGAUAAAAUGAUUUUCUGAGUUUGCAAAGAAAAACUAUUUGCAAGAGAAAAAAAAAAAAUAAAAA